rnacentral:rRNA from 1 species
UACAGAGGGGGCAAGCGUUAUUCGGAAUUAUUGGGCGUAAAGGGCGCGUAGGCGGCUUUGCAAGUGACGGGUGAAAUCCCCGGGCUCAACCCGGGAACUGCGUCCGAUACUGGAAGGCUUGAAUCCGGGAGAGGGAUGCGGAAUUCCAGGUGUAGCGGUGAAAUGCGCAGAUAUCAGGAGGAACACCGGUGGCGAAGGCGGGUCUCUGGGCCGAUACUGACGCUGAGGAGCGAAAGCGUGGGGAGCGAACAGG